GUGGACGCCAGUCUGCGUGGAGCCAACCUUGAAAUACCACCCUUUAAUGUUUGAUGUUCUAACGUGGACCCGUAAUCCGGGUUGCGGACAGUGUCUGGUGGGUAGUUUGACUGGGGCGGUCUCCUCCUAAAGAGUAACGGAGGAGCACGAAGGUUGGCUAAUCCUGGUCGGACAUCAGGAGGUUAGUGCAAUGGCAUAAGCCAGCUUGACUGCGAGCGUGACGGCGCGAGCAGGUGCGAAAGCAGGUCAUAGUGAUCCGGUGGUUCUGAAUGGAAGGGCCAUCGCUCAACGGAUAAAAGGUACUCCGGGGAUAACAGGCUGAUACCGCCCAAGAGUUCAUAUCGACGGCGGUGUUUGGCACCUCGAUGUCGGCUCAUCACAUCCUGGGGCUGAAGUAGGUCCCAAGGGUAUGGCUGUUCGCCAUUUAAAGUGGUACGCGAGCUGGGUUUAGAACGUCGUGAGACAGUUCGGUCCCUAUCUGCCGUGGGCGCUGGAGAACUGAGGGGGGCUGCUCCUAGUACGAGAGGACCGGAGUGGACGCAUCACUGGUGUUCGGGUUGUCAUGCCAAUGGCACUGCCCGGUAGCUAAAUGCGGAAGAGAUAAGUGCUGAAAGCAUCUAAGCACGAAACUUGCCCCGAGAUGAGUUCUCCCUGAGACUUAGAGUCUCCUGAAGGAACGUUGAAGACGACGACGUUGAUAGGCCGGGUGUGUAAGCGCAGCGAUGCGUUGAGCUAACCGGUACUAAUGAACCGUGAGGCUUAACCUUACAACGCCGAAG
rnacentral:rRNA from 2 species